rnacentral:rRNA from 1 species
AUACGUAGGGGGCUAGCGUCAUCCGGAUUUACUGGGCGUAAAGGGUGCGUAGGUGGUUUCUUAAGUCAGGAGUGAAAGGCUACGGCUUAACCGUAGUAAGCUCUUGAAACUGGGAAACUUGAGUGCAGGAGAGGAAAGUGGAAUUCCUAGUGUAGCGGUGAAAUGCGUAGAUAUUAGGAGGAACACCAGUAGCGAAGGCGGCUUUCUGGACUGUAACUGACGCUGAGGCUCGAAAGCGUGGGGAGC